AUGGCUCUGGGCUGGAGCAAGGCUUUCCUUAGAGAAGCCAGUCCCCUUCCCCUUGCCCCCGCACUGCUGUCCCCCUGGGCCACGCUGCCCCCACAGCCUCUGCCUGCUGUGUGGAGGCAACGAGGGGCGGCCUGCUGCUGGUGGAGGCCGGGGGAGCGGCUGCUCUGGCUAGGAGUGGGACAAUUAAUGUCCUCCGUCAGGGCGGCAAGUCUCCAGACUUUGAGAAACAUCCCGGGGUUGGGCCGUGCCUGCCUGUUCCUGCAGUGGCUGAAAUACAGCCUUAUCCUGAGGGAAAUGGCGGUGAGAGGCGGCUGCCGGCUGGGAAAGGGGGGAGGCCUUGUGGCUGCGGAGAGCAGGAGCUGCUGCCGGCUGCUGUGGUGCGAAACGAAGAAGCACUUGUGUCCCAACUUCUUCAGGAGCUUAAAAAGACCUUCCUCUUGCUUCAGAGAUAAGGAAAAAGGACCAGCUAUUACACAACCUUGCGGACAGUCAGAAUUGACUCUUAAUAAUGGGACAGACAGCAGAAGAGAUCAGUGUAUGCUGAAUUUUGUUCACCCACUUCCAACUUGAAGAUUCCCUUUGGACAUUCUAUAGCAAUGUGUAUGUAUCUCAACUGGCAUGUUAAAACUGACAUGAAGAAAAAAGAAGGUUGCUAUUGAAAGGUCAGCAUCAUAAUGAACUUCCAAUUCUGUUUUUGUUUUAUAUUUAUUGUUACUGCAUAAAUCUUGGUCCAUUCUUUAUUAGUUUAAUGCUUUCCACAUUUCCAUUUCCAUUAAAACCACAUUCAGAGCUAUUAGUGGAUUGUUAUUACCCAGUACUGUAUCAAUUAAUGGAGCCAACAUGAAAAGAGGAGGAUGUAAAUCAGUCCUCCAUGUGAGACAGUGGCCAUACAGACUGAUUUUCCUAUUCCCUACAGCCUUUGCAGAGGAGUGAUUUCUAAUUACAAGGUGAAGUGGUUGAGAAAAAUAAAAUACAUAUUCACAGCA
rnacentral:lncRNA from 1 species